GACGAACGCUGGCGGCGUGCCUAAUACAUGCAAGUCGAACGCAGUGGGGACGGGUGAGUAACACGUGGGUAACCUCCCAUCAGAGGGGAUAACCCUUGGAAACAGGUGCUAAUCCGAUACUGCAGGAUGGACCCGCGGUGCAUUAGCUAGUUGGGGAGGUAACGGCUGACCAAGGCCACGAUGCAUAGGCGACCUGAGAGGGUGAUCGGCCACACUGGGACUGAGACACGGCCCAGACUCCUACGGGAGGCAGCAGUAGGGAAUCGUCGGCAAUGGACGAAAGUCUGACCGAGCAACGCCGCGGGAGUGAAGAAGGUUUUCGGAUCGUAAAACUCUGUUGUUAGAGAAGCGGUAUCUAACCAGAAAGCCACGGCUAACUACGUGCCAGCCGCCGCGGUAAUUC
rnacentral:rRNA from 1 species